GCUUCACGGGCUGUGGGUUUCUAAGGUUCAACUGCCUCAAUCACUUUUAACUUCGGACUUCAAGUCCCACAAGGCAGGAAAGCUGGCAUACUGGAACGCAGUUUAUAAACUAAACAGAAACAGAUUGCGCGGAUUUGAUAGGAUUACACAGACAAGGAUGACGCUGUAACUACCAUAAUAAUCGUAACUUAUAACUGACCACUUUCACUCAUUAUCAGGUUAUCUUGGUUCAGAGGUUCUGUCCAUUACCACCAAGGCGGGAGCAGAGCUGAGAGUUCUUCAUCCUCAUCUGAAGGCUGCUAGGAGACUGGCUUCCAGGGAGCUAGGGCUAUAUUCAGCCACCGUGGGCUACCUAUAGGACUGUGAGUUCCUUGAAAGCAAGGGUUGUUUUAAUCAAGUGUGAAAAUACAAGGCAAAGCACAGCUACUGUGUGUGGGCAGCUAUUAUGUUGCAACCUGCCAGUUGCUAGGAUCUGAGACUACCAGCAUGUUUGUCCAGACAGAGUCUUGCUGGUCUUGAGUUCACUGCAUGGCCUCAUCUUCCUGAGAGCAGGGAUUCUGGCUCCUAGUCUUGGGUUCCGCUUCUCAAAUGCAGAUCAAAUAAAAACAGCUGUUGGCAAAA